rnacentral:sRNA from 1 species
CGGCUCACUGCAACCUCCGCCUCCUGGGUUCGAGCAAUUCUCCUGCCUCAACCUCCUGAGUAGCUGGGAUUACAGGCGCACACCACCGUGCCAACUUAUUUUUUGUAUUUUAAUGGAGACGGGGUUUCACCAUGUUGCCCAGGCUGGUCUCAAACUACUGAGCUCAGGCAAUCCACCCACCUUGGCCUCCCAAAGUGCUAGGAUUACAGGCAUGAGCCACUGCACCCGGCCUAUAUUUUCAAUAUAUACAAAUAAAAAGUGAUUUUAAGAAGAUGUAGCCCAAUUAGGAUUUUCCCCAGUCCCCUUUCAGGUACUAAAUAAGAACUUAUUGUCAUUGCAGGUGGGGUGGAAGACAACCCGUGAGUAUUACACCUUCAUGUGGGUUACUUUGCCCAUUGACCUAAACAACAAAUCAGCUAAACAGCAGGAAGUCCAAUUCAAAGCUUACUACCUGCCCAAGGAUGAUGAGUAUUACCAGUUCUGCUAUGUGGAUGAGGAUGGUGUGGUCCGGGGAGCAAGUAUUCCUUUCCAAUUCCGUCCAGAAAAUGAGGAAGACAUCCUGGUUGUUACCACUCAG